GGGGCUAUAGCACAGCUGGGAGAGCGCCUGCCUUGCACGCAGGAGGUCAGCGGUUCGAUCCCGCUCAGCUCCA
rnacentral:tRNA from 1 species